UACAGAGGGGGCAAGCGUUGUUCGGAAUUACUGGGCGUAAAGGGCGCGUAGGCGGCCUGCUAAGUCGAACGUGAAAUCCCCGGGCUCAACCCGGGAACUGCGUCCGAUACUGGCAGGCUUGAAUCCGGGAGAGGGAUGUGGAAUUCCAGGUGUAGCGGUGAAAUUCGUAGAUAUGGGGAGGAACACCGGUGGCGAAGGCGGCCACCUGGACGGUCACUGACGCUGAGACGCGAAAGCGUGGGUAGCAAACAGG
rnacentral:rRNA from 1 species